rnacentral:rRNA from 1 species
AACGUAGGAGACAAACGUUAUCCGGAGUUACUGGGCGUAAAGGGCGCGUAGGCGGGAUGGCAAGUCGGUCGUGAAAUCCUUCGGCUCAACCGAAGAACGUCGGCCGAUACUGCCGUUCUUGAGGGAUGCAGAGGAGAUUGGAAUUCCCGGUGUAGCGGUGAAAUGUGUAGAGAUCGGGAGGAACACCGGUGGCGAAGGCGGGUCUCUGGGCAUCUCCUGACGCUGAGGCGCGAAAGCGUGGGGAGCAAACGGG